GAGUUCUAACUCCACUCGCCCCUCCCCCGCGAAACCCUCCCCACCGUUUGUUUUAUCUUUUCUUUCUCAUUUCAAUUUGUUUUUCUUUGUGAUGCAUGAAACCAUACAUUAAAGGGAAGUCUGAGAAAACAAAAAAAGAAAAGAAAAAAAAAAGUUUGAGAAAAAGGAAAAGAUAAAUGAAGUCUGAGGAAAAAAAAGGAAAGACUAACGUCACAUUGCUUUGACAUUUUAUCGUCACGGACAGGUCUCAUCGUGAAGGCUUACCGCUUAAUCACGGCGAUUAGACCUUCAUUGACAUAACUUUUUCAACGACGCCUACGUGCGGUAAUUUCAUUUUUUUUUUGUUUUAUUCGUCUAAACAGUACUACUACGUGGCAUUAAUAUUGAAUUACUUCUUUUUUUUUUUUAAUUCAUCCAUAUUUUGUUUUCAGCUUAAAAUGGAAAUAAAAACUCAUAAAUGUGUUAACGAGAGGAAUCGUAAAACUAACACUUUUUUUGAAUAUGAACUAUAAAGAAAAAUACGUGCUAUAUAUGUUUAGGGAUUUGUUUUGGCUGGACAGCGAUCCCUAGUCUAGGUCUAGGUCACGAGUCAUUAUUAUUAGCCGAUGAAGGUAUGUGAUCUUCUUCCAUCUUUACCCAAACUAAUACCAUGAAUAUGAUGUAUUCUUUUCUGUAUUUAGAAAUCUUUAGUAGCUCAUUCAAUUACAAAGUUGAAAAACUUAGCUUUCACGUUAAUACUUCCAACAUUUUGGAAAAUGUAUAAGUACAAAGGAUAUGAGGGUUAUUUAGUUCUUCUCUACAAAUUAAAAUUUUGCCUAUGCAUAAUUCAUCAAUAUAUAAGAUGUGCACACACAUGAUGUAAACAAUAGACAUGACAAUGUUAAGAGUAAAACCGUUAGUGGUUUAUCUGAAAACAAGCUACCAUUAAAUACACCUCUUAAUUAAUUAAAGAUAUUAUACGAGUACGUAAUUGGUUAUAUAUACACAUUCUAUGAGUUUAAAAAAAUUUAAGAUUUACUUAUUCAGUCAUACCUUUGUACCAUCGUUAGAGCCGAAGCAAGCAGACCCACUCUAGUGUCUCUGGUCACGUGGAACCGCGUGAAUUAGCGGCGCAAUUUGCAUUUGAUAAUGAUAGUUUAGCGCAUUUGGUAUUACUAUAUUAAAUGCUUUAAAUUUUUUUUAUGUAUUUUUGAUGGUUGGCAUUUUAAAUUACAUAUCCUAUAUAGUAUUGUUCAUGUAUAAUCAAUAUACAGUAUAUGGUUUGUCCUUUUUCAACGUUUGUAAUCGACGACCAACCCACAUACUUAAAACUCUCCAUAGUACUCGCAUUAGUUCGGAUCACAUUGAUCCUUAUUGAUGUCAUCUCGUCAAAUCUUAUGACUAUAUUGUAAUUUGCUGAAAAAUCAAGAGUCUGGACCCAAUAGUCUAAAUUCUACAAAGUAGACCCACUCGGUGAUGGAUAAUUCAUGCCAGAAUUGAACAUUAUAGAUGAUGUAUUGUUAAAUCAUAAUAAUAGUCAUUUUAUUUGUUAAAUGUAGUUAUAAAUAUUUUAUAUAUUAAACCAGCUAUAUUUGAUCAAUAUUUGUUAAAAAUUAGUAUAAAUCUUUUUGAAUCUUUCUUCCACUUUGUCUUGCCAAUCGUUGACGAAUUCUCAUGCAUGUUCAUAAUAAGCAGGUCACGAGAUUGAGAUUUGACUUCUCAAUUCUCAUAGCUAGAUUUGAUCAAAUCUUCGGUAUCCACUGGCCAAUUAAUACACAACCAAUUUCACAAGAUAAAGAUAUUACCUAUAUACCUGCGUAGCGUAGUAAUCCUCGAACAUGAAGUAUGCAAGUUGUAAGGAUUUGCGUAUUUGCUUUUGUUUUAGUGAGAAAAUACGAGCAUGCUUUUUUUACGAACGGAGCAGUUACUUCGAAAUCUUGGUUGCAAAAUAAUUUUGUUCACUUUAGAAAAAAAAGAAAAAGAAGAAGCAUAUUUAUUGGAUUCGGAGAAACAAAAGUAGAAGGAGAAGACGAUGUGAGUUUUCUUGGAAGGUUGUUUAGAGCUUUUACCAAAAAUCACUAAGGGCAACAUUAUUGGUGGGAUCUUA
rnacentral:lncRNA from 1 species